AACGGUCUAUACCUGCGGUACCUGCGGAAGGAUCAUUACCGAGUUAUCAACUCCCAAACCCCUGUGAACAUACCCGAACGUUGCCUCGGCGGGACCGCCCCGGCGCCCCUAGCGGCCCGGAACCAGGCGCCCGCCGGAGGACCCAAACUCUUGCUUUAAACAGUGGCAUACUCUCUGAGUCUCCCAAACAAAAAAUAAAUCAAAACUUUCAACAAUGGAUCUCUAGAUCGGAAGAGCACA
rnacentral:misc_RNA from 1 species